GGAACCAAUAUGGUGGAAACUGUCUUUAUCAUGCUAGGAGAGACAUGAGGUACUCAUACAGCAGGGCACCUCUGCUGCAAUGUACCUAGUUUGGUUGUAGUUUGGAGAACGGCACCAUAUUGUCUACGCAUAUCUCUGCAUUUAUUUAUUUAUUUAUUUAUUUAGGUCUCCAGCAUCUACAGGCAACAAGUCCCGUCUUCUUACCAGACGCAGUGUGCAAACUUCACCCCUCAUCUUUGAAGGCUACGCACUGACAUUUAAAUUAAAACACACCAAGAACAUUUUCGUACCUGUGCUGGGGUUUUUAAACUCUUGCAGCAGGGAAUGGGGGAAAUCUACAGCAAAAGAGGAUUUCCAGGUAUAAUUUUCACUACAAACUAGAACAGCGUUCUCAGCCCCAUCCUUGCCAAUAAAUUGAAGAGGUGCAACAUCAGCUUACCUGAGACAAAUGCCCCAAUUCUAAAGCAUCACUUUGAACUAAGCCCCUUUCCCACGUAAGUACUCGCUUCCCACACAGUGGUCACAAUCCACAGCCUUGCACUGCAUUCUAGCACCGCCACAUCCACUGCACCUAUCAAACGGACUGCUGGCUCUGGUGGUGCCUAUCAGAGAUAGGAGGAGGAAAGAGGAUCCACAUAACAGGGUGGCCACCCACUCGCAGACCUGACCCAGCCAAGAUACUCGUUUGCAACAGCCCUUACGUGCGGCACCCGUUGGCGCAUAAAGACCACAUCCAGCAAAGGCAGCCAGUUGCCUUGAAGAAACCUGCAAAGAUUGCCUUUUGCAGGGGUUUGAGUUCUUCAGCGUUUAAAGAUACAAGCGUAACGGGGUUUGAGAUAUGGGCAUUGCCGCACAACAGCCUAGUUCACCAGAGGCAUAAAACGGACUGAAAAAAGUAGCGUGCUUAUCAACGCAACAUUAGCAAGACACAGCAGAGAAUACGUCAAAGGGUCAAUAAGAACAGUGGCAUUAAUGGUCAUUAUUAUUACUUGAAUGCCUUUUGCCAGCUAAAAAGCUAAACCUAACAAUUUCCUGGAGAAUCAGGGCAUGGAUUCUAACCACUUGUUGUAGCAGGACGCACCAGCACACACAGUGGCAAAAGGGAGGCAAUAAGCUCGUGUGAAUGAAUGAGCCGCCUACGGUAUUAUUAUUAUUGUUGUUGUUGUUGUUGUUGUUACAAUGAGACAUGCAAAUUUGGCUGUGAAUUUAAAGCCCCCUCCCCAUUUUUAACCAGGAAAUAAUAUCGGGGGUGGGGAGUGAGAAGACACCAACAACAUACAGUCUGGCCACAACCAUUCAUUGCGGCAGUGUGCCACUGUCACGCCCACAUUUGUCUUCUGAUCCGCCCCUGGGAUUUCCGCGAAACCCGGGAGGUUGCAGAGAAAGUCCCGGGGCGGGAGGGAAAUCAUGGCUAUCUGGGUGUGCCUUUAAAAAGCCGCCGCCGCCGCCACCACCUCCUUGAGUAAGGAAGGCGCCUUUUUUUGCGCAUUUGCAGUCAAAGAAGCCGCGCAUCUCAUGCACGCACGCUAACAAAAAGCAAAACGCGGGCUGGAUCGAUAUUCGCAUUAUUAAUGCAGGGGGUUCCCCGUGGGGAGGGGGGAAACACGACACACACGGAAUUGUCUUUCUUUACAAAUGGGCGUCGCCACACUUUUUUUGCAGCAGCCUGAGCCUUUUGUUAGCUAGGGAACGGAUGCGAAUAGCCGCUUGCCCCCUUAAUCCGGAGUGAACCCGGACUUCGGUUCACCAGCCCCCGACUCCCGAUGCAAUGCACGCGAUUGUUUCAGGCGACCCUGAGCAGCUGCUUUUUGCAGCCAGACAGCCUCUGCGAUCGAGCGCGGUUCCAGCACCAAUCAAUCAAUCAAUCCAAUUAUCGACAAGGGGAUCUACUCACAAGACUUGGCGAAUUUCCCUCCCUGUGCGUCGCCGUCUGCGCCUCUGCUGCGUUUUUUCCUUCUUCUUUUCUGCUUCUUUUGUUUUCCCGCUUUCCCUUUUCUUUCCGUUUAAGGCUCCACUCUGAAUGUCACAAAAUAAAUGCGUCCAUUGUGCGCUGCAACCACCCCGAAGCCUCGCUUGAACUGGAGCGGUUCCUCUCCCACUUCCCCCUUUCCUCGUGUGCUCAUCCAACGUGAUGGACAGUUGCUAUGGUUUCGCAUCUCUGACGUCAACGACAUUAAAGAGAAAGAGCUUUCCUUUGCUGCCUGGGAUAACUCCCACCAAGGAGCACAAAAAAAAGAGACAGACAGAAAGAGGAUUUCUUGUGCAGUCGAGCCUGGCAGGGCGUAGUCCAGGCACCUCCCAUUUCUUCCCACUGAGGCAGCUAUCACUCAGUAAUUACUGCAGAGAUAUUAGAAUUAUUAAGCCUUGCCAGGGAUGCUUGCAUACUGGGCUGGCACUACUAUUAGGCAGACUGAGGCAGCCGGUUCAGGCGGCAAGGUGCUGGGGGGCAGGCAGCAAAGUGGUGGGUGAUGUCGGCCAGCCCUGUGCCCCAUAAGGCAGCCCGCCACCUUCUGGGGGGGUCGGUGUGGGGCAGCGUCUCCACCCCCAUAGUGAACUUAAGAGUCAACAGCCAGUCUGGUCAGCUUCUGAGUGUGGAAAGGUUGUUGGAGGCAGGGAGAGAGGGGAAAAAUAAUAAUCAUCUCCUUUGUCUCAGACAAGGAAAAUGCCUUGGACGCACAAAUAUUAACAUGUACUUAAUGCAAUAAAGUUUGUUUUUC
rnacentral:lncRNA from 1 species